rnacentral:rRNA from 1 species
GACGGGGGAUGCAAGUGUUAUCCGGAAUCACUGGGCGUAAAGCGUCUGCAGGUGGUUUCCUAAGUCCACUGUUAAACCUUGAGGCUCAACCUCAAAUCUGCAUUGGAAACUAGGAGACUUGAGUAUAGUAGGGGUAGAGGGAAUUUCCAGUGGAGCGGUGAAAUGCGUAGAUAUUGGAAAGAACACCGAUGGCGAAGGCAGCUCUACUGGGCUAUUACUGACACUCAGAGACGAAAGCUAGGGGAGCAAAUGGG